AUGGCCGAAGCAAUUGUAGGUUUACUGAUCGUCAAGCUGGGUGCGGCCUUGGCGAACGAGGCAGCAACCUUCGACACAUCGCUGCUUUGCAGUGAAGCCUCGGCCCUCAAGGGUCUGCUCGGUCAGAUCAGUGAAGCCAAGUAUGAGCUUGAAAGUAUGCAGGCAUAUCUGAAAGGUGCAGAGCGGUUCAAGGACGCCGAUGAUAGAACUGGCCUCUUUGUCGAGAGGAUCAGGGGCUUCGCUUUCGAGAUCGAAGAUGUGGUCGACGAGUUCACCUAUAAGUUGGAGGAGAAGCAUGGAGGGUUUGUUGCCAAGAUGAAGAAGAGGAUCAAGCAUGUCAAGACCUGGCGUCGACUUGCGCACACGUUUAAAGAUAUCAAUGACAGACUUCAAGGUGCUAUACAAAGGAAGGAGCACUACGCCAUGCCAGAAAUUGGCAGAAAUGAUGGCCACAGGGCUCAUCGAGUUUUCAAUUUCUCAAGGGACGAGGACCAUGUAGGGAUCUUUGAGCACAAGAAGCAAUUGAUGCAAUGGCUGACAGACUUGCUGAAGAGGAUUGCUAGAGAAUUUGGCAUGCCAAUUGAUGCACCUAAAAUGGAGAUUAGAAUCCUGGCUGAGACCAUCUACGAGUACCUCCAAGGUAAAAGAUACAUCUUAGUUCUAGAUGAUGUUUGGACUACUAAUGUUUCGUUGGAGAUAUGGACUGUCUUUCCAUCUGGUGGACAAUUUGUUAUCACAUCAAGAAAGCAUGAAGUAUCAUUAUUGGCAACUAAUAUGUCUUCAGUUCAUUUGGAACCACUUGACAAAUCGAACUCUUGGGAGUUAUUCUACAAAUCAGCCUUUUGGAAUGAUCCUGAUAGAAAGUGUCCACUCGAGUUAUAG
rnacentral:rRNA from 1 species